CUGUUAUCUCAUCUAAUCCUUUUCAUGAUAUUUUGUAUCUUUGCAAUGAUGUCAUGAUCGAUCCUAUAGGAUCAAUGACAUCAGUUACACUUAACCAAAAUAGGACAGUUGCAGACUUGCGUCCCUUUCCUCCUUUCGUGCUAUUUGACGAUAUUCAAGGUUUCAAUAACUUACCACAAGUAAAGAGUGUCUUUGCGAGGGUAGUUGUUAAGUUUCCUAGGCAUCGUAAUAGUCAACACUUCAUCCUACAGGACAUCACUGGAGCCAAAAUCGAAGCAAUUUCAAACGGCAAUAAUGUCGAACGGUUCGACGUCUUACUCAAACAAGGAUACACAUAUACAUUGUAUAAAGUGGCAUUCUGUCUAAACUGGGCGGAGGUUCAA